rnacentral:rRNA from 1 species
UACGUAGGGGGCAAGCGUUGUCCGGAUUUAUUGGGCGUAAAGCGCGUGUAGGUGGCCAAGUAGGUCAGCUGUGAAAACUUGAGGCUCAACCUCAAGCUGUCGGUUGAAACCACUUGGCUAGAGUCCGGAAGAGGAGAGUGGAAUUCCUGGUGUAGCGGUGAAAUGCGCAGAUAUCAGGAAGAACACCAAUGGCGAAGGCAGCUCUCUGGGACGGUACUGACACUGAGACGCGAAAGCGUGGGGAACGAACAGG